rnacentral:lncRNA from 1 species
GUCUACCAAUCUGGUGAAACUGCUGGAGACCAAGCCGGAGUACCACAGCCUGCUGCAGGAGCUGGGCGUGGAUCCUGACGACCUCCCUGUGACUCGUGCCCUGCUUCACCAAACGCUCUACCAUCCAGACCAGCCACCACAGUGUGCUCCCUCAAGCCUCCAGGAUCCCACCUAGCUGUACUUGCCUCAUAGCUGGUGAAGGAUUCUUCUGAACCCCCACCCUACCCCCUAAAGGUAUCUGUGGUAUUGGCAGGAUAGGGAAUAUGCAUUACAGAAAUGCAGGAUUUGACUCUGGGCAUGAAAGAUGGCAGCAGCCCUAGGGUGACCGUGAACUAUAGACCUCGCAGUCUUUUCGGUGAAAGAAGAGACAAGUUGACCCUCUGCCCAUUUCCUUAUGGACCUCACCCAUCAUGCCAGCAGGGUCAUAGGACCCUGGCCUUGUUCCAAAUCAUCUGGGACAUGACCCACUCCCCACUGUCACUGUGUUGAAAACAGAGACUUGUUUGUGUGGCCCCAACACCCAUAAGGAAACCAGGCUUUAGGCCCAGGGGAGCAGUGGAGGUAAGGGCUCCACCCCAUCUUAAGCUCUGUCUUCCGUGGCACAAUUCCAAGUUCUUGACGUUAGUAAUUGUUAAAGGAAUGGCAAACUGUUUUGUUUUGAAGGAUCUUUCUACAGUCUGGUCUUACCCAUGUUCCUAGCAACCCUGAGAUGAUUUUCUUCCAUUUACCAAAGCAGCCGGGUCAGUGCUUUCUCACGUUGCCGUAUUCUUCAGGUAUUAGUCAGCUUCAGAAGCCCUGCUCCCAUUUUUCCACCCACCCAUUCCCCCAUAAAACAGCUUAUUGUCUCCAAGACAAUAGACAUUUAAAAUGUGAUGCGGGUUUAUGAUCCAGACCACAAUCAGAAUUAUAUCUUGG